rnacentral:rRNA from 1 species
UACGUAGGGUGCGAGCGUUAAUCGGAAUUACUGGGCGUAAAGCGUGCGCAGGCGGUUGUGUAAGUCCGAUGUGAAAUCCCCGGGCUCAACCUGGGAACUGCAUUGGUGACUGGCAGGCUAGAGUAUGGCAGAGGGGGGUAGAAUUCCACGUGUAGCAGUGAAAUGCGUAGAGAUGUGGAGGAAUACCGAUGGCGAAGGCAGCCCCCUGGGCCAAUACUGACGCUCAUGCACGAAAGCGUGGGGAGCAAACAGG